rnacentral:lncRNA from 1 species
AGGAGUCAGGAAUGGGUUCAGUAUGUUUAAGGGACAGCAAGUAGACAGCUGGGGAGACUUUGGAGGAACGGAAAGUAUGUUUCAUGGCUUUAGAAUGUCAAGCAUUAAUGGAAGUAUACAAAAGCAGAAGAGCAGGUAGUCUUAACAACCUUCAGCUCAGUAAUCUUAGCUCACUUAGGAAGGCCAGUAAAUCAGAAAGAACAUUC